CCCUCAUGAGGCAGCCCCGGGCAGCGCCUCGCCUGAAGGGCCGCGUCCGGGCGUUUCUGUGAGGAAAAGCUGUGGUUUCGUUCCGAAGAAACGCCGCCUCCCGCCGGUACCGAGCUGGUCCUGAGGCGGCACCGCGCCCAGAGGGGCAGAGAAAUGCAUGCUGAGCCCUCCCCUGUGUGUACACCCUCUGACCUAACAUCGGCACAGGCGUGGAUGCACACUGUGAGGUCUUCGGAGACAUGACACCUUUAUGCAUUAUCUAUACACAGGGUGAAAUAUAUGUAAAUAAAUCACACCACCAAUGCUGUCUUUUCAUUCACCUGUGGAAUGCUUCAUAUGAAUUACUGGGUCGUGUAAAAUACAUGCUUUAAGUUCCAUUUGA